rnacentral:rRNA from 1 species
CCAGACUCCUACGGGAGGCAGCAGUGGGGGAUAUUGCACAAUGGGGGGAACCCUGAUGCAGCGACGCCGCGUGGGUGAAGGAGCGUUUCGGCGCGUAAAGCCCUAUCGGCAGGGAAGAAGGAGGACGGUACCUGACUAAGAAGCCCCGGCUAACUACGUGCCAGCAGCCGCGGUAAUACGGAGGGUGCAAGCGUUGUCCGGAAUCAUUGGGCGUAAAGAGUUCGUAGGCGGCAUGUAAAGUCAGGUGUUAAAGGCGCAGGCUCAACCUGUGUAUGGCACUUGAUACUUGCAAGCUGGAAUGCGGUAGAGGUAAAGGGAAUUCCUGGUGUAGCGGUGAAAUGCUUAGAUAUCAGGAGGAACAUCGGUGGCGUAAGCGCUUUACUGGGCCGUAAUUGACGCUGAGGAACGAAAGCCAGGGUAGCAAAUGGGAUUAGAUACCCGCGUAA